rnacentral:lncRNA from 1 species
UUUUUUUUUUUUUUUUUUUUAGGAAAAGAACUUUAAUUAUCAUCCUCACUUUACAAAUGAGAAUUGAGACUUGGGGCAGAGCUGAGACCAUAACCCAAGCCAUGGAUCUCCAAAAUUCAUGAGCAAAACCACCAUGUCCAUCAGGGGUCUUUAGGACAUAUAGAAAAGCAGCAAGAAGGGCAAACCCAUCAUCCCAAGAAACUAGUUUUAAUUUUGGCACACUUCUUUCUAAUCUUAUUUCUAUCCAUACAUUUUCUUGUCCCAUAUUCUUUAUCACUUAUUGUCAUUAUUAAGUUAUUAGAAAUUCUCCCAAAAUAUCAACUUUCAUGACCACAUACUGUUCCAGUGAGUGCAUAUACCUUAAUGUUCUACUUAAUGUUACACUUAUUUGGAUGUUUGGGCUAUUUUCAAUUUUUUGCUAUUUUAAAUAAUACUUUUAUAAAUAUCUUUGUGAAUUAAAUAUUUUCUCACUCUGGGAUUAUUUCUUUAUAAUCAUUAAAAUGGAAAGAGUAGGGCAAAGAAAAGAUAUGUUUAAACCACAUUGCCAAAUUUCUUUUUCAAAAUGGUUGCUUUAGAGGGCCUGGGUGGCUCAGUCCUGUAAGGGUCCAACUCUUGGUUUUGGCUCAGAUCAAUGCAGGCUUCUGAGAUCAACCCCUGCAUUGGGCUCCACACUCAUCUGGGAGUCUACUUGUCCUUCCCUCUCCUUCUGCUCCUCCUCAUGCUCUCUCUCUUAUAAAUAAAUAAAAUCUUUUUUUUAAAGGGCUUUACUAAUAUUUGGUGCCUGUUUCACCUUACCCAUACCAAACCUGAAUAUCGUAUUUUAGAAAUACAAAUUUCUUCAUUCAUUAUGUGAAAAGUGAUAUUUUAAACUGCAUUUCUUUGAUUGGAUUGUAUAUAAAGUUGAAAAUGUUUUCUGUGCUUGCUAAUCAGUUUUAUUUCACUCUUUUCACUAGUUUCCUAAGGUGGAAGCUUAGGUUUUUAUUUUAGAUCUUUCUUCUUUUCUAAAAACAUAUGCAUUUAAUGCUAUAAAUUUCCCCCUAAGCAGGUUGAUUUUGCUCUGUCCCACAAAUUUUGAAAAACUGUACUUUUAUUUUUCCUUAAUUCAGAAUAUUUUAAAUUUCCUUUGGCAUUUUUCUCUUUGGCUCAUGGGUUAUUUAGAGGUAUGUUGUUUAAUUUAUAGAUAUUUGUGGAGGCACCUGGGUGGUUCAGUCAGUUAAACAUCUGCCUUCAACUCCAUUCAUGAUCCCAGGGUCCUGGGAUUGAGCCCCAUAUUGGGCUCCCCGCUCAGACCAGAGCCUGCUUCUCCUUUCCUCUCUGCCCCUCCUCCUGCUCAUUCUUUCUCUCUCUCUCUCAAAUAAAUAAAUAAAUAAAUAAAUAAAUAAAUAAAUAAAAUCUUUUUUAAAAAGUUUCCGAUAUUUGGGAAUUUCCUAGCCAUCCUUCUGUUAUUUAUUUCUAGCUUGAUUCCACUGUGGUACAAGAAUGCAUUUUGUGGGCAGCCUGGGUUGCUCAGAGGUUUAGGGCCGCAUUCAGCCCAGGGCCUGAUCCUGGGGUCCCGGGAUCGAGUCCCAUGUCGGGCUCCCUGCAUGGAGCCUGCUUCUCCCUCUGCCUGCGUCUCUGCCCCUCUCUCUCUCUGUCUCAUGAAUAAAUAAAAUCUUAAAAAAGAAAAAGAAUGCAUUUUGUAUGAUUCCUAUUCUUUUAAAUUCGUUAAGAUAAAUUUUAUGACCCAAAUGUGGUCUAUUUUGGUGAGUUUGAGAAAAAUGUGUAUUCUGCUGUGGUUAGAUGGAGUAUUUUAUAAAUGUCCACUCAAUUAAACUGAUCUGUUAAAAUCAUCUAUAUCCUUACUGUUUUCACUCUUCUCAAAUUAUACUCCAUUUUAGCCACUGGUGAAAAGACAACAGAAGAGAAAAGUCAAUAAAAAGCUAAUUUAUACUUAAAGCUUAUAUUGUAGGAAACAGAUUUCCACAUAUGCUUUCCAUGAAGUUUUUAGUUAUUGUCUAUUACCUCUUUCUAACAAUGAAAAGGAUGUAUGAGAGGAAAAGCUGGGUGAGAGGGUGAGCCAGAAACACAGAAGAAAAUGUUGAAAGGAAACACCAGUCACGUCACUAGUCUGAGAUUUUUUCCAUAUAUUCUGAAUGAUGCUUUCGUGCCUACUGAAAAAAAAAAAAGUAUUACCAAGGAUUUUAUCUUUUUUUUUUUUUUGGUAAGAUUUUAUUUGUUGAUUUGAGAGAGAGAGAGAGAGAGAGAGAGAGCCCACGUGUGCUCAUGCAUGGGGAGGGAAGGAGCAGAAGGAGAUGGGAGGGGAGGGAGAGAAGGAGGGAGAGAGACAAGCAGACUCCAUACUGAGCACAGAGUACCAUGUGGGACUUGAUCCCACAACCCCAAGACCAUGACCUGAGCAGAAACCAAAGGUUGAACACUCAACAAUGAGCCACCCAGGCACCCCACCAAGGUCUUUAUAUUUAUCAGUCUUCUUGAGAAUUCAUAAUUUUUAAUGAAAAAAGUGAUAAUGUAACACUGAAAAAGAGCAUCUGUCAUCUUGUGUUUGGUACUGAGCCUAUUUUCAUUGUAAAAUUUAUCAAACCUAUGGUUAUAAAGUUGGAAAGGUACUGCAGUAGAGAAAGUUCAGCUGAUUACAUAGUAUUAUAGUUUUAAGAGCUGCUUCAAAAGCAAUCAGACUAUUUGGAAAAUCUUUUUCAUAACAAAUGUGUUCUUCCUUUAAAAUGUAAACACUGAGCCAAUCUUAGAAGCAAACAUUGACUGCAUACUUAAGUCAGUUGUUGUAAGUAUUUUAGUUACAACAAUGCAAAAACGUGAAGCAUAGGUUUACUUUUUAACUCCAACCCUGUUCAAAGAUCACUUAUUGGCCUUUGAAGGAACAGGUGGCAUGUCUGUUAUAGUUUAACAAAUGGCCUUUGGGUGAGGUAUAGUCAUUUAGAUACCUCUGGAUGCUUUGGAUGCUCUCAUGUGUGGCAGGGUGCAUUUGCUAAAAGCAUUCUCCUCUCUAGAUCUGGAAACCUAGAUUCUAUAUCUUAGGGAUGGGGGCAUGUAUGUAUUCCAGACUUAUCUUUUGAGUCAUAAAUGAAAAAUGCCAUCUUGCAACUGAGAUUCCUUUGCCAAGAAAUCACAUUCUUAAUUUCUUAAUAUUGACAUAAAUAUUCCAGUUCUUGGUAAAUCAGAUAGCCUUCUGUUUGAAGUAUAUAUCUGAGCAUUUUAUCCUUUCCAUAACAGAGUUUACAUAGAUCUUUUUGUUCUAUCAGAUUUUUUUUUCUAUAAGUUUAAUUAUACCAAACUCCCCAAAGAAUUUCAGAUUCACCUCAAAUACCAGCAACUCAAUUCUGUUCUAUUACUCACUUUUGUUGGGUUGGGUUGAAUUGGAAUUAUCUUAUGUUUAUAAUUAAUUUUAUGAAUGUUUACAUCUUUAGGAAAUUGAAUUUUUAUGAACAUGGUAUAAUCCUCCAUGUAUUUAUGUCCUGUGUUAGAUAUUUCAAUAGAGUCUUAUAAUUUUCUUCAUAAAAAUCUUACCAAUCUUUUGUUGGACUCACUCCUAGACACUGUUUUUGAUUGUUUCUAUGAAUGUUAUCUUUUUAAAAUGAUAUUUUUAAAGUCUCUGUUGUUGGUAUAUUGGAAUGUAAUUGAUUGUCUUUGUAUAUUGAUCUUAUAUCUAGCAACCUUAUUAGAUUUUGGUUCUAAUAAUUUGCAGGCUUUUGGAUUCUUUUGUGUGAACAACUGUAUCAUAUGCAUAUACAUUCAGUUUGUUUCUUCUUUUCCAAUCCUUAUAACUUUUAUUUGUUUUUCUUUGCUAAUUACACUGACUAGAACAUUUAGUACAUUUUGAAUAGUCACAAUAUUAGAAGGCUGGUGAACUUCCUUAUUAUCUUAUGAGGUAAGCAGUGUGUUUAAAAAAUAUUUUUCUUCUUUUUUUAGCCAACACUAAGUGUUUGUACUGAAGGAAUUAAAGUUGUCUAAUCU